rnacentral:rRNA from 1 species
UACAGAGGGUGCAAGCGUUAAUCAGAAUUACUGGGCGUAAAGCGUGCGUAGACGGUUACAUAAGUCGGGUGUGAAAGCCCCGGGCUCAACCUGGGAAUUGCAUUCGAGACUGCGUAGCUAGGGUGCGGAAGAGGGAAGCGGAAUUUCCGGUGUAGCGGUGAAAUGCGUAGAUAUCGGAAGGAACACCAGUGGCGAAAGCGGCUUCCUGGUCCAGCACCGACGUUCAGGCACGAAAGCGUGGGGAGCAAACAGG